GGAGAGUUGGCAGAGUGGUCGAAUGCGGCGGUCUUGAAAACCGUUGUGUCGAAAGGCACCGGGGGUUCGAAUCCCUCACUCUCCGCCA
rnacentral:tRNA from 1 species